GCGAGAGUAGUCUAGUGGUUAUGAUGUCUGCUUUACAUUGGCGAAUGAAAGCGCAGAAGGUCGGGAGUUCGAUCCUCCCCUCUCGUA
rnacentral:tRNA from 1 species